AUAACGAUGAAGAAAUGGUCCAGCUGGAAUAAAGGACAGUGGAUACAGCAUCUGAUUUUUUUUUUUUUUACUAAUGCAAAAUAGAAAUGCUGAUCAUAGUUUGGCUUUUUUUUCCCAAAAAAUAUUUUUCAUUCUUCUGUUGCACCUGCGAAAGUGACCUAGGCGAGGAUGACUGCCAGUGAUACCCCGAGAAAAUCCAAUUCUGGGAUUUGGUACAGAAUAGGAUGGGCCUGUUGAGCUGUGGACACAGGUGACAUCCAACCACCAUCAGGAAUAACAUUUCAGCAGUAGCAUGUGGAAUAAAAGCAACUGAAGGGACAAUGGGGGAAAAAUCCCAAAACAACAGGAGGAAAGGAGGUCUGUGGAAUGAUUUCCAGAAGAUGUUUUCAAGAGACAAAUUUUGACCACCGAGAGAAUCUGUGGUGAAGCAUGCAAGCAAAAUGGUGGUGGACCACUUUGAAAUACUCUUGAAUGAAAGUCUAGACUCAUUUCAAAUUGCCUUCCAAUCCAGUGUUGAAACUGAAAUUGCCUUGAUCUCUCUGAUGGAUGACUUAAAACAGGAGUCAGACUAACCUAUGCCAGCUUUUGCCUUCUGCUGCAGAAGAAAGCUCUUACUAUCAUCACCCUUGCCUUGAUAACUUCCACAUGAGAUAACAAAGUGCAUGAUUUGGGACUGCCUUUGAAAGACAUUCAGAAAUGACAGCUGGUCAGAAAUGCAGCAGCCAAGUUGUUAAUCAGGACUUGCCUAGUAUUGUCCCAAGGCUUCAAGUUGGUUGUUGGUUUCUGGCCACACUUCAACACUUCUUUGUUUCGGUUCUGUUUUUUAGACUUCUGGUUGGAUCUACAGCCCAAAUUCUAUUUCAUUAUUUAGUGAAUGGCCCAUCUUGUUUGUUUUGACUCACUCUGUUUAGUCUGCCACCAGUCCCAAAGAGAAAGGGGGACCAUAAACCACAUAAAUAAAGAGCUGGUGCUGAUUUUUAGAGUUUUAUGGGCUCUGUGACCAGGACACCAAAACGGCACGACUCUCAGGUGAAUCUGCCUAUGAAUUGAGAGCCUGCUUUGGGAGUUGCCUAUGUAGAAUACCCUCCCAGAAAAGCUCCGUCUCACUCAUCUCCAGGUUUUUAAAGCUUUCUGUCAGAGGAAAGAGAUAGAUGGCAUUAGGAAAUUAUUGUAGAUUUCUGAAUUUUGAUCUUUUGUAUGUUGGUUGGUGUUUUAUUUCUUUAUAUUUUUUUAAAAAGGAAAAAUAAUCUAUAAGUGUUAUAAAGAGCCCCUUGGGGAUAGGACGGUAUAAAAAAUUAAGAAAUAAAUAAAUAAAAAUAAAACAAAUAUCAUUUUUUAAAAAAUUGGUUAAUGAUGUUUUUACGUUUAUCGAAUUUUCUGUAUUCUAUUGUUCAGUCAUUAUUCUUCAGGAAAGCUUUGAAUUUAGUUUUCAAGUAUUUUAUGGUCAGACAUGAUUAGCAACAAUUGGGUAGCUAAAGAAAACCAUAAUGUUAAGACUUGUGUUUUAUGUGGAGUGAGCAGCUGUCUACCAAGAAGCACUGCUGACCCUUGUGAAAACCUCAGUUCAAGGAACACAGUUUUCUAUGAUAUUCAGUAAUAUAUUUACUGUCCAGUCCAAAUGUGUGUGUGUGUGUGUGUGUGUGUGUGUGUGUGAGAAGGCUCAUUGGAAGUAGUGGAAUGGUUGCAUAAGCAGCUGUGCCUCCAGUUGUGCUAAGUGCCAUGGAUGCUGGCGCAGAGGAUCUUACCUUGGUGGCUGACUGCCACAGUGCCCAGACUUGAAAGCUGAGCACUUAGGUAUGUAAUAGGUAUACAGGAAAGAAGAGAUUAAGUCUGAUUCAGUAUUGGUCCUUUUUAAAAUGAGGCAAUCAAAGUUAACCUGAAUUCUACCCUAAAAACAAGUUCAAAAGAAUUUUAAUGUGAACUGAAACUACCCGAACCAAAAAUAUCUUUACUCCCUUGAACCUGAACCUAGUUCCAGUUUAAGUUCAAGACAACCAGAAAUUCUAGGUCUAGGUUCAGUCUUCUUUUACAACAUAACCACUCUGAACUGAGUUUUUUUGGGGUGGGGGGGUGGGGGGAUAUGAUUCAAAUAAAGUUCAACUCCCUAUGUUAAAAAGCGCACCCGGUUUGGACCGGGGCGCCCGUUGCGGCAGGGAAGGAUUGUUUUAGGAAGUCUGCCCACUUCCCCGUUAGGCCAAGAACGGUGGUCAUGUGACUGUUCCACCGUCACAUGACAGGGGAGCCGGGAGGCUAUAAAAGCCUGUGCCUGGCUCAGCUCGGCCUCUUCGCAAGGCCAGGGGCAAACAGACCCACCCACCCUCCCUAGGGUUAUUAGGGGUUGUUGCAUGUUUUUUUUUACUUAUUUGUCGCAGUCUGGGCGGUU